UUGUACAGCAUUACAUAAAAGGAGUUAUAAUUUUCUUGGAUUCUUUUUGGGUUAACCAAAUUGGAUAUGUAUUGCACCUGAUUUCUUAUCCCUUUUUCGCCUUUUCAGCUUUCUAUGAGACUAUCACCUCUUCCCAUAUUGGAAAGGAUGCUGGAUGAAUUGUUAUAUUAGGCAUUAGAAGGUCACCAUUAAAAGGCUGAAGUUAAUGACCUAAUUUAUGUGUGGAGGGAAGAAAGGUCAUGUACUAAUGCAUAAUGAAAGACUUCUACAUUAGUAUCACCAAUAUUGGCCUGCCAUUUUGUGGUUAUCUUGCUGGACCUCUUGUGUAUCUAAUCGUGCCUUACUUGAUGGCUAACCGUACAUGGCAGAGGCAGUGGUGGAGCUAGGAUUUUAUUUCGGUAGGUGCAAAAUCUAAAUAAAAUAAAAAAAAGUAUGAACUAUCUUUCUUUUGUAGAACAUUUCUUCAAUUAUAAUGACAAUAAAUCCUUUACACUUCUUCAUAUGAGGAUGCAUUGCUACAUCCAAUGGAUGCCAACUGCAGACAUGCCGCUGUUCUCCUAGCACCCCCUCCCUAUCUUGUUGAUGUAGGAUAUGCAAAGUAUGUGUCACAAUACUGUUUCAUUCCAAAAGAUUGAAUUUAUUAUCAAUACCAUAAAAAUAGACAUGUAAGAGUCUAGAUUGUUAAAUGGGUUCUGCUCCUGAAGAUCUGUCAGGUAGGAAAUGCAGUUGGCAGAGUUUCAUUAAUCAAUUUUCCUCUAGAAAAUCCUACAUAUAUAUUAUUUUUUUUAUAAAAUUAUUUUUCUUAUUCUUGUUCUGUUAGAAAAUGUGUACAAUGGAUGAAUCCGUUAGUUAUUAAUGCUUGCUAAAUAUGUUAUAAUUAUAACAAGAUAUGUAUAAUUAGUUAGUAAUUGGUGAUUUGUAUUUAAGCUUUCUAAUAUUGUAAUCCGUUCUUGCCUGAAUG